GACAGAGGUGCCGAGCGUUAGGCGGAAUCACUGGGCUUAAAGCGUGUGUAGGCGGGCGGGCAAGUACCUUGUGAAAUCCCACGGCUCAACCGUGGAACGGCUGGGUAUACUGCCUGUCUUGAGCCAACUAGGGGCGAGCGGAACAGACGGUGGAGCGGUGAAAUGCGUAGAUAUCAUUUGGAACGCCAAAGGUGAAAACAGACAGCUGGGGAUGUGCUGACGCUGAGACACGAAAGCCAGGGGAGCGAACGGG
rnacentral:rRNA from 1 species